rnacentral:lncRNA from 1 species
CGAGUUACGGUUCGUAAGAAAAAAGCUUCUGUUAAAGAGAUAAAUGUAUCAAUUUCUAAAAAUUAAAAAAAUCAUAUCUCCAACUUAACUUCAAGAGUUAAACUGUAGCACUUUUUGGGACUAGCUGGACCAGGUGUAUCUACUAACGCCGGAAAACCGAAGAAAACAAUUUCUUCUUUGAAAACUUUUGUCAUAAAAUCAACAAAGGGGUACCCUUGGAUUUUUUUCAAAAUUCGUUAAUUGAAAAUAUUGGUGUCAAUUCGAGUGCCAGAGUCAAUGUAUAGCACUUUUCUUACAUAAAAUUUUCUUCGCGUUCUUCUGCUUUCCGCAGAAGUUCUCUGCGAGUUACGAUUCGUAAGAAAAAACCUUCCGUUAAAGAGAUAAAUGUAUCAGUUUCUAAAAAUUAAAAAAAAAAACAUAAUAUCUCCAACUUAACUUCAAGAGUUAAACGGUUGCACUUUUUGGGACUAGCUGGACCAGGUGUAUAUACUAACGCCGGAAAACCGAAGAAAACAAUUUCUUCUUUGAAAACUUUUGUCAAAAAAUCAACAAAGGGAGUACCCUUGGAUUUUUUUCAAAAUUCGUUAAUUGAAAAUAUUGGUGUCAAUUCGAGUGCCAGAGUCAAUGUAUAGCACUUUUCUUACAUAAAAUUUUCUUCGCGUUCUUCUGCUUUCCGCAGAAGUUCUCUGCGAGUUACGAUUCGUAAGAAAAAACCUUCCGUUAAAGAGAUAAAUGUAUCAGUUUCUAAAAAUUAAAAAAAAAACAUAAUAUCUCCAACUUAACUUCAAGAGUUAAACGGUUGCACUUUUUGGGACUAGCUGGACCAGGUGUAUAUACUAACGCCGGAAAACCGAAGAAAACAAUUUCUUCUUUGAAAACUUUUGUCAAAAAAUCAACAAAGGGAGUACCCUUGGAUUUUUUUCAAAAUUCGUUAAUUGAAAAUAUUGGUGUCAAUUCGAGUGCCAGAGUCAAUGUAUAGCACUUUUCUUACAUAAAAUUUUCUUCGCGUUCUUCUGCUUUCCGCAGAAGUUCUCUGCGAGUUACGAUUCGUAAGAAAAAACCUUCCGUUAAAGAGAUAAAUGUAUCAGUUUCUAAAAA